ensembl:lncRNA
GGUCUCUGGAGACCAGACUGAAUCAGAGGCAGAGAGAUGUGAUGCAGCGACGGCGGCACCAAACGUCUGAGGUGAGGAACCAGCGAGCGCGUGUGUUCACGAGGAAGAGAAAAGGGGGGAGGAGAGGAGGGGAGAGAGGCAGCGAUGUGAUGUGAUGGCUUAAGAGAGAGGAGGGGGGGGGUUCUACUGCUGAGUAAUAUCUCGCUAUUGUUAAAUGAAAGGCAAAGGUAUGAUAUGUUCUUCUUCUUUUCUCUUCUCAAGACUGGUCCUCGAGAAGAAAAAAAACAUCUGGGUUUGGUUUGUUAGAAAAAAUGUGGGUGAGAAAAAAACAAACAAACAAACAAACCAACAGUGGUUCAGAGAGGAGCAGAGCGGGAGGGAAAGCUCAGCGGGGAACAACAGCAAGUCAAUACCACGUUGGGGUUUGGAAAACGUGGACGAUUGGACAAUGAAUCCUGCGCCUGGAGACACCUGUUCCACAGAAUGAGCAUCACUUAUCCUUUUUUGUACGCUUGCAAUCAAUUCAAUCAAUUUUUAUACAUAUAAGUAUUUCCUUUUAUAUUUUCAAUUUAUACUGUAUAUUUUUGUUUAGUAUACUGCAAUUUGUAACAUAACAAAAGGGACUUUUUAAAUUAAUAAAAUAACAAAAAUGCACCUUUCUGUACAGAUCAUUCACUUGUUGUGGACUCCAUUUCAUUGAUGUGUUGCAUCAUGAAUUGUUUUUUUUCCAGCUUCUCCUGGAUCCCAACCGACAUGAUUCACACGGAGAAACCACAACCCGCUGAAAAUGAAUACACACACAUUUGUAAGCUACAAAUGGAUCUUCAAGACGUCACUACUCAUGUGACUUCUUGUAUAUUCUUUGAAGCCUUCUGGAAACUGUCCCACUUGAUCUCAUCCACUUUCCAGGCGAGUUUGUGAGUCAAGCAUAAUUGCACAGCAGUUGCCAUUGAUGGUGUGUGACAUAGUGUGACACUAUCGCAAUGAUUUUAAGAUCUCUAUGGACAUUUGUGUUGCACUCUCUCUCAUCUUUUACAGCCCACCUGGAGCAAUGCGAGGAUCUGAUUACUCCCCUUUUAGGGUCUGCGUCUGUCAAAGAUGCUAAUCAAUUUACUGAUUGAUUCAGUGUCAAAUUAAAUAGCCCAGUAAACCUUAGUCUUUAUGCGAGUCCUCAAGGACCUCUUGGACAUCAGAGGAGUCCAUGUGCACAAGAUCAAGGUUAAAGUAGCUCUCCGUGUGCAGGCUUGUUUAUGUCUGCGUGUCCUCUGUCAAAUGGGAAAAUUGUGUUUUCAUCAGGACUGUGGAGUGAUUAAACGAUGAUGUAACCAUUUGGGCUGUUCACACACUCCGUCUCUAUAAACCCCUUGGGCAGAAACAUUAACCUUUAAACAAGUUGCCGGUGAAGCUGGAGAGCGUCACACAUUUUGACAAUGAAACUGCAACAUGGGGUGAGAGGACACUUUAAACGUCCCAGUGUUUACAUAUUUGUUUCGGACUAAUAAACAAUGACGGAAGGGAGACCUGCGUGUAUAAACCACAGCCCUCUUGAGAUGGCCCAUGCGCCGGAAAAGUAAACCGAGACGCAAACUCCAUCGGGAAUGAAUAACACCGCGGCAGGAAAGUUGGACAGCAAGUCCGUCCAGGCAGGUGACUCCUGUCGGAUGGGGCUGGCUGGCGGGCUGCUGGGGGGAGGGGAGGGGGGGGGGG